UACGGAGGGGGCUAGCGUUGUUCGGAAUUACUGGGCGUAAAGCGUGUGUAGGCGGCUACGUAAGUCGGAUGUGAAAGCCCCAGGCUCAACCUGGGAAGUGCACUCGAUACUGCGUAGCUUGAGUAUCGGAGAGGUUGGUGGAAUUCUCGGUGUAGAGGUGAAAUUCGUAGAUAUCGAGAGGAACACCGGUGGCGAAGGCGGCCAACUGGACCAGUACUGACGCUGAGGCGCGACAGCGUGGGGAGCAAACAGG
rnacentral:rRNA from 1 species